GACGAACGCUGGCGGCGUGCUUAACACAUGCAAGUCGAACGGAAAGGCCCUGCUUUUGUGGGGUGCUCGAGUGGCGAACGGGUGAGUAACACGUGAGUAACCUGCCCUUGACUUUGGGAUAACUUCAGGAAGCUGGGGCUAAUACCGGAUAGGAGCUCCUGCUGCAUGGUGGGGGUUGGAAAGUUUCGGCGGUUGGGGAUGGACUCGCGGCUUAUCAGCCUGUUGGUGGGGUAGUGGCUUACCAAGGCUUUGACGGGUAGCCGGCCUGAGAGGGUGACCGGCCACAUUGGGACUGAGAUACGGCCCAGACUCCUACGGGAGGCAGCAGUGGGGAAUAUUGCACAAUGGGCGGAAGCCUGAUGCAGCAACGCCGCGUGCGGGAUGACGGCCUUCGGGUUGUAAACCGCUUUCGCCUGUGACGAAGCGUGAGUGACGGUAAUGGGUAAAGAAGCACCGGCUAACUACGUG
rnacentral:rRNA from 1 species